rnacentral:lncRNA from 1 species
CCACGUUGAAGCAAGGGGGUGAGACACCCCUUCACCGAAAAAUUACACUAUGUUUCUAGAUAAUUUUUUUUAUUUUAUGUAUAUUUACUAUAUGUUGACUCCCCUUGACUUUUAAAUAUAUCUAACUAUUUAUAUUUUGACACCCCUUGAUGAAAAUUCUGGAUCCACCACUAUAAAUAAGUAUAAAUAUUCUUGAUCGUCGUCAACCUAUAAAAUUCAAAUCCUAGUUCCGCCUGCCUAGCAUACUCCUUACGUAUCCUCUUGUGACAAAUUCUAAGCAUUACAUUUCGAGUUCCUCGUACCAUGGCCAAGAAACAUCAUCUUUCUCGUACGAGUUCUUCUCAUCAAUUAAAGAUGCUUUUUCUCUCCAAAACUUACAAUCCAAGAAUUCAUGACUUGUAGGGUAUGCUUCAAUUUCUAACUGCCAAGGAAUAAAAUCACCUAAUUUUAUGUUGCAGUGGAUUAAUCCAAUCCAAGCCCUUCAAAAUAUGAUGACUUUUUUAAAGAUCAAGAUAGGCUCCAUAAACCACAUGAAGGCGAAUGAUCAAUGGCGGAUUCCGAAUUUAGACGUUAAAAGUCUGAGUUGAGAUAAUCACUUCUGAAAGGUAUAUCUAACUCUUUUAUAGUGCGUAGUAUUUGUUUUUCUUGUACACAUAUAGGGUCUGUCAAACACCCGUACUCAUGGUUACAUCUGCGCGCUGUGGUACGGCUCAUGGGAAAUAAAAGGCGAAUAGGGACAAUGAGCUUUCUAUAUAUAGAAAGUUUUGCAUUGAUGUUCCUUGAUUCUUUAACAUCAAUAAAUGACAUACUUGUUGAUCAUCACAUAAGAAGCAAAAGAGAGGAGAACAGGAAUAAGAUAAAUCAUCUUAAUGUUAACAAGGUUCACUUUUUCAGAUUCUUCUUCAAAAAUGGUUUCCAAUUUGGGAACAUUUGAAGGUUUUUGACAAGAGAUAUAAGGGGAAGGAGCUACCUCUACCAAAUUAUGAAUGUAACUCAUUUUCUUUCCCAUGUUUGAAAAAUAAAUAAGCUUUCUUUUAAUGCAGGAUUUUGAUGGGAAUUAAGGGCUUGU